rnacentral:rRNA from 1 species
GAUGAAUGCUGGCGGCGUGCCUAAUACAUGCAAGUCGAGCGAACAGAUAAGGAGCUUGCUCCUUUGACGUUAGCGGCGGACGGGUGAGUAACACGUGGGUAACCUACCUAUAAGACUGUGAUAACUUCGGGAAACCGGAGCUAAUACCGGAUAACAUUUGGAACCGCAUGGUUCUAAAGUGAAAGAUGGUUUUGCUAUCACUUAUAGAUGGACCCGCGCCGUAUUAGCUAGUUGGUAAGGUAACGGCUUACCAAGGCGACGAUACGUAGCCGACCUGAGAGGGUGAUCGGCCACACUGGAACUGAGACACGGUCCAGACUCCUACGGGAGGCAGCAGUAGGGAAUCUUCCGCAAUGGGCGAAAGCCUGACGGAGCAACGCCGAGUGAGUGAUGAAGGGUUUCGGCUCGUAAAACGCUGUUAUUAGGGAAGAACAAAUGUGUAAGUAACUGUGCACGUCUUGACGGUACCUAAUCAGAAAGCCACGGCUAACUACGUG